rnacentral:rRNA from 1 species
UACAGGGGGUGCAAACGUUGCUCGGAAUUACUGGGCGUAAAGGGCGCGUAGGCGGCCGCCUAAGUCAGACGUGAAAUCCCUCGGCUCAACCGGGGAACUGCGUCUGAUACUGGGUGGCUUGAAUCCGGGAGAGGGAUGCGGAAUUCCAGGUGUAGCGGUGAAAUGCGUAGAUAUCUGGAGGAACACCGGUGGCGAAGGCGGCAUCCUGGACCAACACUGACACUGAGGAGCGAAAGCCAGGGGAGCAAACGGG